rnacentral:tRNA from 1 species
AGGAUUGUAGUUCAAUUGGUGAGAGCACCGCCCUGUCAAAGCGGAAGCUUCGGGUUCGAGCCCCGUCAGUCCUG